rnacentral:rRNA from 1 species
CCUACGGGAGGCAACAGUGAGGAAUAUUGGUCAAUGGACGAGAGUCUGAACCAGCCAAGUAGCGUGAAGGAUGACUGCCCUAUGGGUUGUAAACUUCUUUUAUAUGGGAAUAAAAUGUUCCACGUGUGGGAUUUUGUAUGUCCCAUAUGAAUAAGGAUCGGCUAACUCCGUGCCAGCAGCCGCGGUAAUACGGAGGAUCCGAGCGUUAUCCGGAUUUAUUGGGUUUAAAGGGAGCGUAGGUGGAUUGUUAAGUCAGUUGUGAAAGUUUGCGGCUCAACCGUAAAAUUGAAGUUGAAACUGGCAGUCUUGAGUACAGUAGAGGUGAGCGGAAUUCGUGGUGUAGCGGUGAAAUGCGUAGAUAUCACGAAGAACUCCGAUUGCGAAGGCAGUUCACUGGACUGCAACUGACACUGAGGCUCGAAAGUGUGGGUAUCAAACAGGAUUAGAUACCCUUGUAGUC